rnacentral:rRNA from 1 species
AACACGUGGGCAAUCUGCCCUGCACUCUGGGACAAGCCCUGGAAACGGGGUCUAAUACCGGAUACUGACCCGCCUGGGCAUCCAGGCGGUUCGAAAGCUCCGGCGGUGCAGGAUGAGCCCGCGGCCUAUCAGCUUGUUGGUGAGGUAACGGCUCACCAAGGCGACGACGGGUAGCCGGCCUGAGAGGGCGACCGGCCACACUGGGACUGAGACACGGCCCAGACUCCUACGGGAGGCAGCAGUGGGGAAUAUUGCACAAUGGGCGCAAGCCUGAUGCAGCGACGCCGCGUGAGGGAUGACGGCCUUCGGGUUGUAAACCUCUUUCAGCAGGGAAGAAGCGCAAGUGACGGUACCUGCAGAAGAAGCGCCGGCUAACUACGUGCCAGCAGCCGCGGUAAUACGUAGGGCGCGAGCGUUGUCCGGAAUUAUUGGGCGUAAAGAGCUCGUAGGCGGCUUGUCGCGUCGGUUGUGAAAGCCCGGGGCUUAACCCCGGGUCUGCAGUCGAUACGGGCAGGCUAGAGUUCGGUAGGGGAGAUCGGAAUUCCUGGUGUAGCGGUGAAAUGCGCAGAUAUCAGGAGGAACACCGGUGGCGAAGGCGGAUCUCUGGGCCGAUACUGACGCUGAGGAGCGAAAGCGUGGGGAGCGAACAGGAUUAGAUACCCUGGUAGUCCACGCCGUAAACGGUGGGCACUAGGUGUGGGCGACAUUCCACGUCGUCCGUGCCGCAGCUA